rnacentral:rRNA from 1 species
GACGAACGCUGGCGGCGUGCUUAACACAUGCAAGUCGAACGAAGUGGCGAACGGGUGAGUAACGCGUAAUCAACCUGCACUUCAGAGGGGGACAACAGUUGGAAAGGACUGCUAAUACCGCAUACUGAAGGAGGGGAUUGCGUCUGAUUAGCUAGUUGGGGGGGUAACGGUCCCACAAGGCGAAGAUCAGUAGCCGGUCUGGGAGGAUGAACGGCCACAUUGGGACUGGGGCACGGCCCAGACCUCCACGGGAGGCAGCGGUGGGGAAUCUUCCGCAAUUGACGAAAGUCUGACGUAGCAACGCCGCGUGAGUGAUGACGGCCUUCGGGUUGGAAAGCUCUGUUAAUCGGGACGCGGUACCGGAAUAGAAAGCCACGGCUAACUACGUGCCAGCAGCCGCGGUAAUUC